CCUACGGGAGGCAGCAGUGGGGAAUCUUGCGCAAUGGGCGAAAGCCUGACGCAGCCAUGCCGCGUGAAUGAUGAAGGUCUUAGGAUUGUAAAAUUCUUUCACCGGGGACGAUAAUGACGGUACCCGGAGAAGAAGCCCCGGCUAACUUCGUGCCAGCAGCCGCGGUAAUACGAAGGGGGCUAGCGUUGCUCGGAAUUACUGGGCGUAAAGGGAGCGUAGGCGGAUAGUUUAGUCAGAGGUGAAAGCCCAGGGCUCAACCUUGGAAUUGCCUUUGAUACUGGCUAUCUUGAGUGUGGGAGAGGUAUGUGGAACUCCGAGUGUAGAGGUGAAAUUCGUAGAUAUUCGGAAGAACACCAGUGGCGAAGGCGACAUACUGGCCCAUUACUGACGCUGAGGCUCGAAAGCGUGGGGAGCAAACAGGAUUAGAUACCCUGGUAGUCCACGCUGUAAACGAUGAGUGCUAGUUGUCGGCAGGCAUGCUGUCGGUGACGCAGCUACGCAUUAAGCACUCCGCCGUCGGGGAGGUACGGUCGCGAAGAAUUAAAACGUUAAAAGGUAAGUUAGACGGCGUGAGACGUCGCCGACGGACGACGACGAGGGAGGUUAGG
rnacentral:rRNA from 1 species